CAGCCGCCACGGUAAUACGUAGGUCCCGAGCGUUGUCCGGAAUUAUUGGGCGUAAAGCGCGCGCAGGCGGAUCAGUCAGUCUGUCUUAAAAGCUCGGGGCUUAACCCCGUGAGGGGAUGGAAACUGCUGAUCUAGAGUAUCGGAGAGGAAAGUGGAAUUCCUAGUGUAGCGGUGAAAUGCGUAGAUAUUAGGAAGAACACCAGUGGCGAAGGCGACUUUCUGGACGAAAACUGACGCUGAGGCGCGAAAGCCAGGGGAGCGAACGGGAUUAGAUACCCCCGUAGUCCCUGUCUCUUAUACA
rnacentral:rRNA from 1 species